UUGAACGCUGGCGGUAUGCUUUACACAUGCAAGUCGAACGGCAGCACGGGGCAACCUGGUGGCGAGUGGCGAACGGGUGAGUAACAUAUCGGAACAUAUCCGGAAGUGGGGGAUAACGUAGCGAAAGUUACGCUAAUACCGCAUAUGCCCUGAGGGGGAAAGUGGGGGAUCGCAAGACCUCACGUUAUUCGAGCGGCCGACGUCUGAUUAGCUAGUUGGUGGGGUAAAGGCUCACCAAGGCGACGAUCAGUAGCGGGUCUGAGAGGAUGAUCCGUCACACUGGAACUGAGACACGGUCCAGACUCCUACGGGAGGCAGCAGUGGGGAAUUUUGGACAAUGGGGGCAACCCUGAUCCAGCCAUUCCGCGUGAGUGAAGAAGGCCUUCGGGUUGUAAAGCUCUUUCAGCCGGAACGAAACGGUACGCUCUAACAUAGCGUGCUAAUGACGGUACCGGCAGAAGAAGCACCGGCUAACUACGU
rnacentral:rRNA from 1 species